rnacentral:lncRNA from 1 species
CGAAUCUGGUACCGGGACUUGGGGAGCGAGGGAUGCAACAUGGUGCAUCUGGGAGGCCUGCUAACUGGCUAACUUCUCCGGCGUUCCUCCCGGCCGAGGCGUGGGCACAGAAUAGCGCAGUUUGAAGACAUCAUUUUCCAGUUUUGGAGCCGACUAAUGAACUAGUUCUUAAGUGAAAGGCAUUUAACACGACUGUGCAUCUACAGGUACUAGCUCCCUCUUCUCUUCCAGGUUUCCAAGAUGCCUUUCCAGACUAAAACCCACACAUGUGAGCCGCUGGCCGGACAAACAUCUGGCACCUAACGUGGGGCUGAAAAACAGCAGAGGACAUUUGGAAGAAACACUGCUGGUUUGGAGCUCCAUAGAAGAAGAAAAUAAUUAAAGGAAAUUCAUACCAGAGAAGGAAGCUGCAGCUCCUCUCCUCUGGAUCUUUAUGACCACACCAGGAAGCAUUGUGAUCUGCAGUCACUGCCAACCUGCAGGAUAACACAGCUUGUUCCUCUGGGAACUGCCCUGCAGUGUCUGCAUACAGCCACCCUCGACCUGUCUGCCUGGUCUUUGCAACCUCUAGUGGCUGUUGUUCCACAAUGUGUUGUGAAGAGACCUGAAUGGUUUGCACCAAAACACAAACACAAACCAUUGGGAGAGUGAUUGGUGAAGUGAUGGACAUUUACUCGGGCAAAGGCAUGCAUGUAAAAUAGUCCCUAUCUGGAUGGACCUACGCCUGUGGCAGGAAGUUCACUGGUCAAUUACCUGCUGACUGAAGUGGCCUAUUUUCUUCUGACCCCCUGCUUCUCUCUUCCCCUCUCCGCCCUGAAAGCUGUUUGGGCAUAGGGAGGUCUUGACCUGAGGAAACCAUCUUGGGUAACCAAGGCAAGGAAAGGGAAUAUGCAACACCUAGGAGAUUUCAGCAAACAGUAGAAUCAUGCCAACGUAAUCUGUGUUAAAAUGCUUGGAAUGUGGGAGCCGCCGGUGAUGUCUGUUGUCUGUGUGUCUCCAGUAAUCCUUUCUUUUUUAAGUGCAGCAAAGCCAAGCCUGGAAACCAGGCCAAGCGCCUGCCACUUACCUUAAAUUUAUCAGCCACUUUGAGAUUAAAACCCCUGAAAGCUGCUGCACAGUGAAAGCAAGGCCUCCUUCACAUUAAAGGCAAAUCGCAACUCUG